UUGUCUUUUAAUUAAAGACUGGAAUGAAAGGUUUGACUAUGUAUUUCUGUCUUAUAGUAAUAUUUUGAAAUUUAUAUUUUAGUAAAAAAGCUAAAAUUAUCUAUAGGGACGAGAAGACCCUAUCAAGUUUUACAAUCCAGAAUUUAUUUUCAAAUUAAAUUUUAAAUUGUUUUGCUGGGGCAGCAGAUAAAAAUUUUUUAUUUUAAAAUUAUGAUAAAUAAAUCUUGAAAAAUCAAAAAAUUUUUAAUUAAAAAUAAAUUACUGUAGGGAUAACAGCAUAAUUUUUUUAGAGAGUUCUUAUCAUCAAAAAAGUUUGUGACCUCGAUGUUGGAUUAAAAUUCCUAAUUCAUGCAAUAAUGAAAUAA
rnacentral:rRNA from 1 species